AUUCUGGCUCAGGAUGAACGCUGGCGGCGUGCUUAACACAUGCAAGUCGAACGGGAUCCAUCAGGCUUUGCUUGGUGGUGAGAGUGGCGAACGGGUGAGUAAUGCGUGACCGACCUGCCCCAUACACCGGAAUAGCUCCUGGAAACGGGUGGUAAUGCCGGAUGCUCCGACUCCUCGCAUGGGGUGUCGGGAAAGAUUUCAUCGGUAUGGGAUGGGGUCGCGUCCUAUCAGGUAGUCGGCGGGGUAACGGCCCACCGAGCCUACGACGGGUAGCCGGCCUGAGAGGGCGACCGGCCACAUUGGGACUGAGAUACGGCCCAGACUCCUACGGGAGGCAGCAGUGGGGAAUAUUGGGCAAUGGGCGAAAGCCUGACCCAGCAACGCCGCGUGAAGGAAGAAGGUUUUCGGAUCGUAAACUUCUAUCCUUGGUGAAGAUAAUGACGGUAGCCAAGAAGGAAGCCCCGGCUAACUACGUGCCAGCAGCCGCGGUAAUACGUAGGGGGCAAGCGUUAUCCGGAAUUAUUGGGCGUAAAGGGCUCGUAGGCGGUUCGUCGCGUCCGGUGUGAAAGUCCAUCGCUUAACGGUGGAUCUGCGCCGGGUACGGGCGGGCUGGAGUGCGGUAGGGGAGACUGGAAUUCCCGGUGUAACGGUGGAAUGUGUAGAUAUCGGGAAGAACACCAAUGGCGAAGGCAGGUCUCUGGGCCGUUACUGACGCUGAGGAGCGAAAGCGUGGGGAGCGAACAGGAUUAGAUACCCUGGUAGUCCACGCCGUAAACGGUGGAUGCUGGAUGUGGGGCCCGUUCCACGGGUUCCGUGUCGGAGCUAACGCGUUAAGCAUCCCGCCUGGGGAGUACGGCCGCAAGGCUAAAACUCAAAGAAAUUGACGGGGGCCCGCACAAGCGGCGGAGCAUGCGGAUUAAUUCGAUGCAACGCGAAGAACCUUACCUGGGCUUGACAUGUUCCCGACCGCGGCAGAGAUGUCGUUUCCCUUCGGGGCGGGUUCACAGGUGGUGCAUGGUCGUCGUCAGCUCGUGUCGUGAGAUGUUGGGUUAAGUCCCGCAACGAGCGCAACCCUCGCCCUGUGUUGCCAGCACGUCAUGGUGGGAACUCACGGGGGACCGCCGGGGUCAACUCGGAGGAAGGUGGGGAUGACGUCAGAUCAUCAUGCCCCUUACGUCCAGGGCUUCACGCAUGCUACAAUGGCCGGUACAACGGGAUGCGACACGGCGACGUGGAGCGGAUCCCUGAAAACCGGUCUCAGUUCGGAUUGGAGUCUGCAACCCGACUCCAUGAAGGCGGAGUCGCUAGUAAUCGCGGAUCAGCAACGCCGCGGUGAAUGCGUUCCCGGGCCUUGUACACACCGCCCGUCAAGUCAUGAAAGUGGGUAGCACCCGAAGCCGGUGGCCUAACCCUUUGUGGAUGGAGCCGUCUAAGGUGAGACUCGUGAUUGGGACUAAGUCGUAACAAGGUAGCCGUACCGGAAGGUGCGGCUG
rnacentral:rRNA from 1 species